GGUGGAGCAUGUGGUUAAAUUCGAUGCAACGCGAAGAACCUUACCAGGGCUUGACAUGCCCGCGACCCCACAAGGGUCGUGCUCUUCCAAGAAAAGGGAAGAAGUUUUUUUUAAACGGACACAGGUGGUGCAUGGCUGUCGUCAGCUCGUGUCGUGAGACGUUGGGUUAAGUCCCGCAACGAGCGCAACCCUCGUGAGAAGUUGCCUAUUUUUAAUAGUGCUCUCUACUCAGACUGCCGGUGACAAGCCGGAGGAAGGUGAGGAUGACGUCAAGUCAGCAUGCCCCUUACGCCCUGGGCUACACACGUGCUACAAUGGCCGGGACAAUAGGAUGCUACCCCGCAAGGAUAAGCUAAGCCCCAAACCCGGUCUCAGUUCGGAUUGUAGGCUGCAACUCGCCUGCAUGAAGGAGGAAUCGCUAGUAAUCGCCGGUCAGCCACACGGUGGUGAAUACGUUCCCGGGCCUUGUACACACCGCCCGUCACACUAGGGGAGCUGGCUCUGCUCUAAGUCGUGACUCUAACCGUGAGGAGGAGAACGCCAAAAGCAGGGCUCGUGACUCGAGUGAAGUCGUAACAAGGUAGCGGUACUGGAAGGUG
rnacentral:rRNA from 1 species